ACGUAUCUUACAAGCCUAAGUAGUGUUUCCUUGUUAGAAGAUACAAAGCCAAAGACUCAUGAUAUGUUAGGC
rnacentral:sRNA from 1 species